rnacentral:rRNA from 1 species
UACGUAGGGGGGCAAGCGUUGUCCGGAAUCAUUGGGCGUAAAGGGCUCGUAGGUGGCUUUGUAAGUCGGAGGUGAAAUCCCAUGGCUCAACCAUGGACACGCCUUCGAAACUGUGAGCUUGAGGCUGGGAGAGGAGAUCGGAAUUCCUGGUGUAGCGGUGAAAUGCGUAGAUAUCGGAAGGAACAUCAGUGGCGAAAGCGGCUUCCUGGACCAGCACCGACGUUCAGGCACGAAAGCGUGGGGAGCAAACAGG